UAGCUCGGACUCUAGCUUCCAACCUGUUUCGAGCGACUCGGAGUUGGUUGGACUCGGCUCAAUGAACACAAACCCGAGCGACUCGAAGUAGGUUGGAGUGGCUCAAUGAACACCAAAAGCUGACUCGCAAGUGGUUGCAACCAAGUUCGAGCAGCUCGUUGAACACAGCUAUUCAUCAGAACAAACUGCUCCUGGUUCAGCCAGACAAAAAAAAAUAAUCGGACGAACAGAGCUGAAUAUUUUCCGCACUAAGCGGUAAAAUAGUAAAGAGUACGCGAAAAAGUACACGGGUUCCGAUCGCGGCGGCGAAGUGUUGUGUGAUCGUUUUUCCGUGAUCGUGUGCUGCGCGAGAAAAGUGCGAAAAUGACGACGGAAAAUUUGCCCAAAUUCUACGAAAUGCCAGCGCUCUGAUUAUGUGAUCAUUCUGUGUGAUACGGCUUCAAAGUGUUUCGUUUCCUUUGUGUUUUUUCGUGAAAAAUCAGUGCAACAGCUUGGGAUGCAAGCCUCGGUGGCGAAAUAAUUGGAAUUAUACACAUAAAAGGAAGUGAACGAGGAGAAAAUCGACGCCGCACGGAAAAGUGACCUAAAGACGAAGCGCAAAAGAUCACUCAAAAGGAAAAGUUCCCCCCUGAUCGAGAAAACACCGAAAGCGAAAGAGAGAAAGAGACUGGAUGUUGUGAUCUUCCUCAACCGCUUGGCUUCAAAGAGGAAUUUUCGUCGGAUUUCCCAUUCUCUGGCUUCUUCUGCCGUCCCCCUCACUUCAUAACAUCACACAGUAUUCACCGGGGGCAGCAGUAUGGACAGUUCACAGGCACAGUCUACCGUCCAGGCGCAGUAUUCUUUCAAAGGCUCGAACAACGACGAGCUAUGCUUCGCCAAGGGCGACAUCAUCACACUAACCCAGCGCGAGGAAGGCGGCUGGUGGGAGGGCACCUUGGGCGACAAGACGGGCUGGUUCCCGAGCAACUACGUCAAGGAGUAUGCCGGUCCCCUACCGUUAUCCGAGACGAUACGUCCACCGGAAGAUAUUCAAGCUUUUCGUUCGGUCGUAUUUCGAGAUCUGCUGGAAAGCGAAAGGGCACAUGUGGCGGAGCUUCGAGGGUUGCUAGAAAAUUUCUUGGAGCCUCUGCAGAAUAGUCAAAUAUUAAAUUUGGAUGAGUAUACACAGCUGAUGUGUAAUUUCGUCGAGAUCGUUGAAAUGCACGAAGACUUUCUUCAAAACUUGGAAGAAUCGAAUGACCGCGUUGGAAAGGUGUUUCUUACGAAAGCGCCCACCAUGAAGAAGAUCCACCAAUGCUACUGUGCGGCUCAUCCUCGUGCCAUCAUUAUUGUUGAUAAGUAUCGCGAAGACCUUAAUGCCUUCAUGGAGAAGCAAGGGGCGGCGAAACCGGGUCUGCUAGUGUUGACAACCGGUCUUUCGAAACCGUUCCGCCGCUUGGAUAAGUAUUCUGCCAUUCUACAAGAGCUUGAACGACACAUGGAAAGUUGUCAUGCAGAUCGGGGUGACACCCAACGUAGCAUAGCUGUCUAUAAGGAUAUUGCAUCGUCCUGUUCGGCGACGCGUAGACAGAAAGAGCUAGAACUUCAAAUCCUAACGGGGCCUAUCCGCGGAUGGCAAGGUCAAGAACUUAGCACCCUUGGCGAAAUAAUCCACAUGGGUAGCGUUGCGGUCGGUCCGGAACAUAAAGAUCGCUACUUUGUCCUUUUCCCGCAUACAUUGCUUAUCUUGAGUGUUAGUCAGAGGAUGAGUGCAUUCAAGUAUGAGGGGAAACUCCCAUUGACCGGUAUUAGCGUGAACCGUUUGGAAGAUUCUGAACAGUUGAAGAAUGCGUUUGAGAUUACGGGUUCCUUGAUCGAUCGAAUUGUAGCCGUCUGUCAGGGACCUAACGAGGCUAACAAGUGGGUCGAUUUGCUCGGUGCGAAACUGACCGGGUCAGUCGAUGGUCAACCGGUGAAGGAUAUGAAGCGAAUCGUGAGCAGUUCGGCGGUCAACAUUCCGCAGCCACCACCUCAUAGUAAAGAAAUGCUCGAUUCACGUGGAUACUGCACCCGCGUGUCCGUAUGUGCAUACAGUCAAAACUUUCAGCAGACUUUUCCACCUAGCUCUUAUCCGCCGACAGCACCGUAUGCAGCGCUGACAUCCUUCUUUCGACAAUUGGUCAAAGCUGGUGCCAUGUCGCGAUACAUUGUUCAGGCACUGCUCUACCCGCAAAUCACGCAGGACAUCGACUUUAGCGAUGUGGUGAUGCGCCGGAAGCAUCGCACUACCAUUCGAAUGUAUCGCCGGGACCGGGAAGCGGAAAUGAAUAGGGAAGAAGAUAAUCGCGAUGGCGAGUCCGGAGAGGAUUCUUGUACUUCGUCAUGUUCAGGUAGAUCGAAUACUUUGGAACGCCAGAAUGCGCUCGACUAUGGUGACGAGGAUCCAUAUGAAACGAUUACCUUCUUCACAGGCAGGAAAAAUGAUAGUACCGCUCGGGAAAGUACGGUUUACGAAAGCUACAUCGAUCAGGCGGGAGAGGCGGACGAAUCGAAUGAGUCGUUUUUCUUCAUUCAGGGUCAAUCGGUGAGCGAGGAGAGAAAGAGUGUCGAGAGUCAUGGUUCACAUAUCAUUGGUUCUAAAGCGAUUCCCUGUUUGAAACUGAACGACUGCGAGUCAUUUGACAGUGACGAGGGACGUGGAAAUGGUGGCAUUGGCUCUGUACAUACUUCCACGGCACGAUUGCAUCUGGGGGAGAUCAAACAGCAGUGUUCGGAGCAGUCUCAAGUAUCUAGUUUUGAGCAUAGAGUAGGACAUGGCCGUAUGGCAUGUGAAGAUUUAGUGAACUUAGAUGAUUCCAUGAAGAUCAAACAUUCGCUUCAACAGAAACCAAUAAUCGAGGAAAGGCACAGUAUGCCCACUUUGUUUGUUGGGAAUCGUUUUGCAAGUUCUUCAAUAACUGAGAUUUAUAUUCCUUCGUGGAAAGACCAACAAGAAGUACAACAGCAACAACAAAAGCAGAAACCCGUAGAUAGCCCUGCCGUUAACCGCACCAGUGUACAUUCCAGUUCGCUCGAUAUUCCAGCAUCCGAAGCAACCAUUUCCGUACCGGAUAAUGUAUCUGCUGAGCUAUUGUAUAAUUUUCACAAUUCGCUGUCGGCCGCUUCAUCAGCGGUAUCAUGCAAAAUCCCUUCGCCUCCGCAACACUUCGGUUACCAGAGUCAAGAUGUUGGCUGUUUGUCCCGCGAGAUGUCACCAUUCCGUAAGCAUUCAAUAAAUUCCGAUAAAAAACUUCUGCUAAAUCAAACUCAUCUCAGUAAAGGCAAUAGUGAGGAGGAUAAAACAUCUUAUCAGUCUAGUAGAAGGUGUGUGAGCUUUCAAUAUGUGACUCUCAAAGACGUAGACCGGCCGAAAGAGAUCAAUUACAGUACAAGUCAGAAUGGUAGAGCAGAGGAGCCUCCCGGUCCUCAAGCGGAUUCAGUUAAGAAUCAACGUCCGCGAGACCAUCAUUUCAAGUGUCGCUUUUGUAGUACCAGCAGCGGAUCACAUUGCCACAGUCCGCGAUCGAGUGAUUCAGGUAUGGCUGGUAGUUGUUCGAUAUCCUCACCUGAUCCUCCUAAAUUAUCGGGCGAUUUUCUUCUUUACGAUUCAGAGCAUCCAGAACUAGCCAUUGGGGCUACUGAUAAAACACGCGAACAGAAUAAUGCCAGCUUAGAGAACUCUUUGCGGCAUUCGCGCUCGAGCCACAAUAUCGGACGGUUCGCACUGCUUCGCGAUAGUGAGCUAAACUAUAUCGAUAGUGGCCAGUUUGACCAAAGCAAUCAAUUUCAUGAUGAUCACCAUCGGAAUAACACCCUGCGUAGCGAGGAUUCCGAGCUGGAUCCAAUGAAAUUCACACGUAGUAGGAGCGAGGAACGACAUUCGAGUGAUGAGGAAGGAUCCACCACGAAGGAAUACAGUGGCCGUAGUCGGAUAGUCGUUAACCUCUAUGGAUAUCAGACAUCACUUGAAACGGAUGAAGCGCGUCAAUCUGGCGAGCCUUUGCAGCGAGGAACUAUCUUUAAGACUGGACUGUAUGCACAUUGGUGGAAGAAAGAAAAGCUACCCAUCUUCGUAGUUAGCCAUUGUGAUGAGAAGCUGAGUAGCGCUAGUGAAAAGAACGUCCCAACUGGUGCUGUUCGUGAUCGUGUCGAUGCCGUUCGGGGUUCAGAUGUCCCCACCCGCGUCCGGCAACAGUCAUCCAUCACGAGGCAGCUCCAUCACACAGCACAUGUCGCAACACAAACGCAGCCAGUCGUUCAAUCACCAUCUGAGCUACAACCAGGUCCAGCACCAGCAGUCCCAAAAACAGCUACUGGCCAACUUCGCGGCCCGGAAUUCCGACCAAAGCCAACAGCAACCGGUGCCAAACCUAAAGGGUAUCAAGGAAAAAGCUAACUGGAAAAUCACCAACCUCAGGCCGGCCCCUUCCCUGCGGCCGGCGCUUUUGAACGGCGGAAACAUUGGUACCGGGGGCGGUGGCCUGACCGGAUCUGGAAGUGUUCAUCACAGUUUGUCGCUUAGCCAGCAGAGCACGAAAACACCACCCACGUACGAGGAGGACGCCUUGGUGCUGCGUGUCAUCGAGGCGUACUGCGCGGCCUAUCAGAGCACCGCGCGGAAUACGAUGCACUCCGCACUGCAACCUUGGACGCCUUGCUUACCGAUACGUGGUGGCAAGCUGAAAACCAGCAAACAUUUCUCGUCCUCUAAUCCACAACUACCGUUCACGUGUUCAUCGUUAUCAUCGUACCUGGUGAAUCCAACCGCGGGAAUUAAAACCAGCAAAAGUCACAAUACUGCCUCUACUAGUAGCAUCAAUACGUCUCACAUCUGGCGUGAGGCAAGUCCGAACAACUUCAAUCUCUAUUCGGCGUCGAUAUCUUCACUGAAUGCUUCGAACUGCCGGGGACGGUAUUCUGUUGGAGGUUACGGAAGUACGGAAUGGCGUUCACACUCCGAGGAAAAGCCCGCUUUAGGUGGAACCGGAAAUACAUUGAAGCCAAUGCCGAUUGGUCGGUCAGGAUCGAAUUACGACAACAUUUUCAUGAACAAUAGUGCGAACACACCACUCCUAUCACGUGUCUCGAAACAGCAAACGGUUUGGAUGAAUGCGAAUCAAGUGGCUCGCCAUCGAUCCGCUAGCAGGGAAAUAGAGCCUCUCCCAAGACGGGAAAGUCCACCGCCUCCGGCACCGGAAGGACCAGUAGUACCACAGCAGUUGUAUGAUCGCCGCCUCAACCGAUCGUUCGAAACGGCUCAGGGAUUGGGCCGCAACAGUAAAAUGUCCCAAAUGCGACGAUCUACACCGCAGUUGAAUGGCCUGGAGAACGAUGACAUGACCCCAACGCUGCGCCAACUGUUCAUCAGCGUGCGUCAACUGCAGCAGGACAUGACCCAAGUCAAGACCCAGAUCAGCGAAGAACGGGCACUCCGGAACCAUUUGCAGCAGGUCUUGAUGGGUCACUUGGAGAGCUAUGGGGCUUCCAACACGACGUGCUAAGUAAGGUUUGUAUUGCGCUCUACUUUCUCUCUUUUGACGAUUUUACAUUCUUUGCGAUCGGAAGCAUCGAAACGAAGAGCUUUAUAGUUUGGACAACACGCUACUAUUGAUUUCAACUUGUUUACGCUAUUUGUAUUUCAAUGACGAAAUGUAAUCGUUUGUAACGCAAUUUCACUUGUGCCUUCUAAGUAUUUUUUUUAUUCACCAUAGUUCUAAUUUUAUUCAAAGAUUGGAGAUAAUCUUGUACCGAGCUGUAAACAGAUUUAUUUACACGAAAAGGUGUUCAGCUCAAGCAA